rnacentral:rRNA from 1 species
UACAGAGGGGGCGAGCGUUUGUUCGGAAUUACUGGGCGUAAAGGGCGCGUAGGCGGCCUGCUAAGUCAUACGUGAAAUCCCUCGGCUCAACCGGGGAACUGCGUGUGAUACUGGCGGGCUUGAAUCCGGGAGAGGAAUGCGGAAUUCCAGGUGUAGCGGUGAAAUGCGUAGAUAUCUGGAGGAACACCGGUGGCGAAGGCGGCAUUCUGGACCGGCAUUGACGCUGAGGC